UUUUUAGGAUCCGUUUGGAUCUUCGGAAUCGGGCCGAAUUGGAAAUACAUUCUAGACCGGCCUAUUUAGCCGCCGCAAGAAAUGGAAAAGGAGAUUCCAUCACUUUCCAUGGCCCGGAAUCUUGAGCUGCGAUAGAUUCACGGCCGAAAACAAGGAACGCAAUUCCUCAUCUGCUCCCGCCAUCCGGCCAUCCUGGAGCUCCGGAAGCCCGAAGCCGUUUCUCUGGCGCCGGCACUGCCGCAUCCGCAUCGACCCGCCGGAUCGAGUCAUCACCAAGCCGGCGUCGCUCUACCUGUUGCUACCAAGGCCGGUGCUGCUGUCCCCAUAGAUCAGUCCACUUCAACCGUGUUUGCCCGCCUCACCUGCACCUCCGUCCAGAUCAAGGAAAGUUGCUGUUGGCUGUUUUCACAGGAAGCAGUCAUCAAGGGAACAAUGACUGAAAUCGAAGAAGCUCUGGGAUCCUGCAUGGAGCGGCUGGUCACUGCCCGAGAAGAGCGGGAACAGAUCAGCGUGAAGGUGUACAGCGAGAAUCAUUCCAAAGUAGAAUUAUUUUUGUAAUAAUCAGGGGGUGGUACCAUAUGGGUGAGCAGUGAUGGCUGGAUUCCAAACACGUGCAGUGUAGGUGAACACAUUGCCAUUCUUGUUUUAAGAUGGAUCAUAUUGCCGUCAUUUUGAGGGAAUGUGUUAUGCUUCCCGUGUGCAUCUGACAUGUGCAAAGAGCCAAAGAGAGAGAAGAGAGAGGGAGGGAAUAUGUGCUAUGCUUCCUGACAUGUGCAAGAGAGUGCGUGAGAGAGAGUGAUUGUGAGAGGUACGUGCGUGUCUGUGUGCGUGUGUGUGUGUGUGAGAGAGAGAGAGAGGAGAGAGAGAGGAGAGAGAUUGUGAGAGGUGUGUGUGAAUAUCUCAUGUAUAUUUUGGAGAAUCAUCAUAUAAGCAUAUCGAGUCA